UGGCUCAGUCAGUAGAGCGUCCGCAUCACAAGCGGGAGGUCGUGGGUUCGAAAUCCCGGC
rnacentral:tRNA from 1 species